GAUGAAGAACGCAGCGAAAUGCGAUAAGUAAUGUGAAUUGCAGAAUUCAGCGAAUCAUCGAAUCUUUGAACGCACAUUGCGCCCCCCGGCAUUCCGGGGGGCAUGCCUGUCCGAGCGUCAUUGCACCCCUCGAGCCCGCGCGGGUUUCGGUGUUGGGCCGCCGUCCCCCGGGGGGGGGGACGGGCCCGAAAGGCAGUGGCGGCCCCGGGGCGACUUCCCGCGCGAUCGCAGCAUCUCGCGGCCGAAGCGUUCGCCCCGCGGGCCCGCCUGGACCACCAGUGUGACGUACCGGUUGACCUCGGAUCAGGCAGGGAUACCCGCUGAACUUAAGCAUAUCAAUAAGCGGAGGA
rnacentral:misc_RNA from 1 species